rnacentral:rRNA from 1 species
AACAGGCUUAUCUCCCCCAAGAGUCCACAUCGACGGGGAGGUUUGGCACCUCGAUGUCGGCUCAUCACAUCCUGGGGCUGUAGUAGGUCCCAAGGGUUGGGCUGUUCGCCCAUUAAAGUGGUACGCGAGCUGGGUUCAGAACGUCGUGAGACAGUUCGGUCCCUAUCCGUCGCAGGCGUAGGAAAUUUGAGAAGACCUGUCCUUAGUACGAGAGGACCGGGAUGGACGUACCUCUGGUGUACCAGUUGUCCUGCCAAGGGCAUGGCUGGGUAGCUAUGUACGGAAUGGAUAAGCACUGAAAGCAUCUAAGCGCGAAGCCAACUUCAAGAUAAGAUUUCCCACCGCAAGGGUAAGACCCCAGAAAGACUAUCUGGUUGAUAGGUCGAAGGUGUAAGUGCAGCAAUGUAUUUAGCUUAUCGAUACUAAUAGGUCGAGGACUUGACCAAU